GAUGAACGCUGGCGGCGUGCUUAACACAUGCAAGUCGAACGAUGAUGCCCAGCUUGCUGGGUGGAUUAGUGGCGAACGGGUGAGUAACACGUGAGUAACCUGCCCUUGACUCUGGGAUAAGCCUGGGAAACGGGGUCUAAUACCGGAUACGACCAUCUGGCGCAUGUCAUGGUGGUGGAAAGCUUUUGUGGUUUUGGAUGGAUUCGCGGCCUAUCAGCUUGUUGGUGGGGUAAUGGCCUACCAAGGCGACGACGGGUAGCCGGCCUGAGAGGGUGACCGGCCGCACUGGAACUGAGAAACGGCGCAGACUCCUACGGGAGGCAGCAGUGGGGAAUAUUGCGCAAAGGGCGCAAGCCUGAUGCAGAGACGCCGCGUGAGGGAUGACGGCCUUCGGGUUGUAAGCCUCUUUCAGUAGGGAAGAAGCGAAAGUGACGGUACCUGCAGAAGAAGCGCCGGCUAACUACGUG
rnacentral:rRNA from 1 species